CAUGGUUUGAAAUUGUAUAAGUUAUAAUUGUAAAGGUUGUCUGCGCUUUGAAUUAUUUAGAUUCUUUUCAAAGAAAUCACCAUUAUUUUUGUCUAUGGUCUGAAAUUGUCAAAAUAAUUGUAAAAGUUGUCAGAAGUUCCUGAGUGUGUCCUGAGUCCUGAUAGGAGGAACCCCACACACACACACAACACACGCAACCACACACGCACACAACAACGCACGCACACAAACAUCACACAUGCAGACACAUAGAGACCUUUGUCUAUCUCUCUCGAUCCUUCUCUAUUCUCUCCAUUCUCCACUCAGAGAUCUCUCGAUCUCUCUUCUCCCUUCUCCC
rnacentral:lncRNA from 1 species